rnacentral:rRNA from 2 species
GUACCCAUCCCGAACACGACCGUUAAGCCCUCCAGCGCCGAUGGUACUUGGACCGAAGGGUCCUGGGAGAGUAGGACGUUGCCA